rnacentral:rRNA from 1 species
GACUACAGCCAUGCUAUCUGAAUAAGCCUGAUACUAAGCAUGGUUGGGCCUGGUUAGUACUUGGAUGAGAGACCACCUAGGAAGACCAAGUGCUGUAGGCG